ACACGUGGCUUUAUUUAUAUUUAUAUAAUUAAUUAAAUAUUGCUUUAUUCGUUAUCGUGUUGUUUUCUUCGGCAUAAUCAAUUAAGAACUUUAUUCACACUUCGCGAAUUUUACAUUGAAAAAUAAAAUGCACUUCAAACGCUAGGGCAACAAUCGUGGCGGCAAACUAUGUAUACAUGCAACUACCAACCAUUUCAUAUAUCAUCUUUAACCGGUAUUCCUAAAUAGCAG
rnacentral:lncRNA from 1 species